AGCAGCCGCGGUAAUUCCAGCUCCAAUAGCGUAUAUUAAAGUUGUUGCAGUUAAAAAGCUCGUAGUUGGAUUUCGGGAUCGACGGGUCGGUCGCGCCUCUGGUGUGUACUGGCCCUGUCGGUUUCUCCCUUCUGACGAACCACGAUGUCAUUAAUUUGGUGUCGUGGGAAAUCAGGACUGUUACUUUGAAAAAAUUAGAGUGUUUAAAGCAGGCAUUCGCUUGAAUACAUUAGCAUGGAAUAAUGAAAUAGGACGUUUGAUCUUAUUUUGUUGGUUUCUAAGAUCGACGUAAUGAUUAAUAGGGAUAGUUGGGGGCAUUAGUAUUCAAUUGUCAGAGGUGAAAUUCUUGGAUUUAUUGAAGACUAACUACUGCGAAAGCAUUUGCCAAGGAUGUUUUCAUUAAUCAAGAACGAAAGUUAGGGGAUCGAAGACGAUCAGAUACCGUCGUAGUCUUAACCAUAAACUAUGCCGACUAGGGAUCGGAUGAUGUUAAUUUUUAAUGACUCAUUCGGCGCCUUAC
rnacentral:rRNA from 1 species